CUGUUGGGAUCUGCAGAUCUGCCACCUGUCUCCAGCAGAGAGCGCUGUGGGCUUCCUGAGCUGGAGUCCUCAGCACACCUGGGGUUCAUCAGCUCAUCAGAAGACCUCCCUACAUAAGCAGCAGUCAGACCUUCCUUCGACGCCGGAGUGUUGACCUAGUUUGAAACCCGACUGAAGUCCGAAGCACUGGAUGAGCAUAACCUGGAAAUCUGCCUGCCUGCCCACGUAAGCCAAACCUGAAGAUCCCAGUCUGGAUUCCUCCAUCAGCUCUUGGAAAAGAGCUAGGAAACAAGAACCCAGAUCUGAAACUCUCUAGCUCGAAGCUAGAUGCUGUUGCUGCUGAGCUCUCUGCUACCUCCACAGACUCUGGAUCCAACCGGUUCCUCCUCUCACGGAUCUGUUAACACCUCCUCAAGAUUAUAUUGAAACCCGUCCCGGACCUGUACCAGAACCAGAUCUUGAAUCUUUUGUGUAUUCAUUAAUAAAC